rnacentral:rRNA from 1 species
UACGAAGGGUGCAAGCGUUACUCGGAAUUACUGGGCGUAAAGCGUGCGUAGGCGGUUUUUUAAGUCCGUUGUGAAAGCCCUGGGCUCAACCUGGGAAUGGCAGUGGAUACUGGAAAGCUAGAGUGCGGUAGAGGGUAGUGGAAUUCCAGGUGUAGCAGUGAAAUGCGUAGAGAUCGGGAGGAACACCAGUGGCGAAGGCGGCUACCUGGACCAGCACUGACACUGAGGCACGAAAGCGUGGGGAGCAAACAGG